GUGCGGUCCUCUGCCCCGCACGGCGGCAGGACGCGUCUGCGGGGCUGGCUUUGAGAGCCGGCGUGUCCUUUGGGGUAUGAGUGGCGCAAAGGCCGGGAAAGGGGGGGGUGAGAAUGCAGAGGGGCACGGGAGGUGUAUGGAAGUGUUUCCGCUCUUCUCCCUCCUGGUCUGAACGUAGCGGUAACAAACGUGUGUGCCCGGGGGAGUGCCGUGUGUGUGUGUGUGCGUGCCGCUGUGUGCAGCGGGGUGCCCGAGCACCGACAGCGCGAGGAUCCCCAGCGCGAUUUUGCCUGUGAAAUCAAUACGAGUUUUGUGCGCCCGCACCGCCGUCAACGCGACCUGGAAAGGAAAGAGCGAACUGAACGCACCUAGCGGUGCAGGAGCUGCUACGUGACCUGAGGGACUGCAUCCCCGCCUCUGGAGAACGGGUGUCCGAAGCCUGUCAAACCGAGGCAACCGCGAGCCGCAGGAAACGCCGCAAGAAGUGUCCGACGGAUGCGAACCGCGCGGUCGGCCCUUCUAGCGCAGGGGAGGGCGGGCAGGAGACCCGGCAGCGCCCGCCUGGUUAUCGCCCUGUCCGCGGCCGGUGCAUCACAGGUGAAAUAUCAGCGGGAAACAAAUGAAAAGUUUUUUGUAAUGCUUUCUCCCAUGGCUGGAGAAGAAACCUCUAAUUAGAAGGUAUCUGGGACCAACUAACGUAAUGUUAAGGGGAUGCUGGCAAAUAUGAUUGAGCUAGAAGCAUGCAUAAACUUUUAUGGGAAAAAAAAAAAAGGUUAAAAUUCUGACAUUCAAAGUAAUGUGAGAACAUUGAGCUCCCUUGAAUAUCUGCCUUAUUUAUGCUUGUAGCUACUCAGGGAGAUCUUUUCUCGUAGUUCCCUUUUAACAAAUACACACAAAUAUAGCCAAGUACGACGACUGCAGCUGUCAUACACGAGAUGACUGUAUAUGGAUAUAUAUAUGUAUAUGGUAAUGACUGUGGUGGGUGCACACUGACAUAUGGCAGUAAGUGAACUUUGAACAGAAAAGUGCAAACCUCAGAUUAAAAUAAGUAAUACAGCCCUGAUGCUUUUUUGAAUUGCAUUGCUCCUCAUACCGAGAUACGUACUGAACAUAGCACAAAUAAGUAUAUAAUCUAUGAACACGCUUUCCAAAAUGUAAGCAGGUGUAUUUCUACCAACAUGGUUUUCUUCUGCUGGACAAGGCUGGUAGGAAUAGUCAAUGCAUGACAUAUAAAUCCAGGUUUGUCUGAAGCCUCAAGACAAAAAAAAAUCAAACCUCCAAACCUUCCUGUUCUGAAGAGGAAAUUCAGACCUGUAUAAAACAUACAUACAAAAAAAAAAAAAAAAGCCCCUAUUUUAUGGCCUGUAAAGAUAUCUUGGUCUUAGGAGUCCCUGACACUUAUAACCUACAUAGAUUUUUUUUUUUUUUUUUUUUUU